AACGAACGCUGGCGGCAUGCCUUACACAUGCAAGUCGAACGGUAACAGGUCUUCGGAUGCUGACGAGUGGCGAACGGGUGAGGAAUACAUCGGAACGUGCCUAGUAGUGGGGGAUAACUACUCGAAAGAGUCGCUAAUACCGCAUGAGAGCAACGGAUGAGAGCAGGGUAGCGCAAUACCUUGUGCUACUAGAUCGGACGAUGGCAGAUUAGGUAGUUGGUGGGAUUAAAGCUUACCAAGCCGACGAUCUGUAGCUGGUCUGAGAGGACGAUCAGCCACCCUGGGACUGAGACACGGCCCAGACGCCUACGGGAGGCAGCAGUGGGGAAUUGUGGACAAUGGGCGCAAGCCUGAUCCAGAAAUGCCGCGUGCAGGGUGAAGGCCUUCGGGUUGUAAACUGCUUUGGUACGGAACGAAAAUGCCUGGGUUAAUACCCUGGGGUCAUGACGGUACCGUAAGAAUAAGCACCGGCUAACUACGUGCCAGCCGCCGCAGUAACAC
rnacentral:rRNA from 1 species